UACGGAGGGUGCGAGCGUUGUCCGGAAUCACUGGGCGUAAAGGGCGCGUAGGCGGCCUGAUAAGUAGGGGGUGAAAUCUUGCGGCUUAACCGCAAGGCUGCCUUCUAAACUGUCGGGCUAGAGCACAGUAGAGGCAGGUGGAAUUCCCGGUGUAGCGGUGGAAUGCGUAGAGAUCCGGAAGAACACCGGUGGCGAAGGCGGCCUGCUGGGCAGUAGCUGACACUGAGGCGCGACAGCGUGGGGAGCAAACAGG
rnacentral:rRNA from 1 species